rnacentral:lncRNA from 1 species
ACCAGAUCUUGAUCUGGCGCUCGGACAGGCAGAGUGCGUGGGCGAUCUCGAUGCGCCGUCGCCGGGUCAGGUUGCUUGUCUGGAGAUGGAGCCACUACAGGCGGGCCUGGGCGCCUGGAGUCGGGCAUGAAAGAAAAUAGCGCCUCAUCGCUCUUAUCUAAGCCCAGAGGUCCAGGGGACAACCUGAGGGCCCUGAAGUGUUUCAAUACCAUGUACCAGCUUGACUUCUCUACAUGUCCUUUGGAUUGCCCAAAAGCAAAAUCUCAGAGGGGCCAAGGACCUUCUAGGGCUGGCUCCCUCAGGGCCUCCUAUAGAGCAGCUCCUUGAGUCGGGCCUUAUAGCCACCAGAAAGUCACCUCGCCGCAGGAAAGCUAUAAAGAGCUGCUCCAGAGGCGCCGAAAGAGGGUGAGGGCUGCAGCCACAGUGUUUGUCCCCAGCACCACCAGGCCCCUUAACCUCGUCAGCUCCUCUAGCCCUCGGCCAGACUCUGGCAACACCUUGGUUUGCCUGGCACCGCAGGCAAUUUCCUGGAACCCCACCCCCACCCAGGAACGGGGACCACAGCACCUUUAAAGGAACUGCCAGAGCUUCCUCCUACGGCUUGAAAGCCCAAGCUAAUCAGUAACCCGUGAGACAGGGGCCAAUAUUCAAACGCUGCAGCAGAGGCGCAUAGCCUAGCCCUGGCCACCCCCUCUUGGGAAGGAGGUCGAGUUAAGCCGGUGUGGAGGGUCCAACAGGAACGGAAAUUACGACGGUGUGGUUCCUUAAGGAUUUGGCCCCAGUCCCACUACCAAAUUUUUCCCAAAUCAUAUUUAGGUAGACUUCGCUUGAAAAGAUCGAGAAUGGAGGAGGGGAUCGGCACUCACUUGCAGACAUCAACAGUUUCCAGAAAAUUCGGUUCAAUUCCUUCACCACGGACCCACCAACCAAGGAGCUGGCAAAACCCACUAACCAACCAGGAGAACACAGACCCGCCGUUUCCUCUCCCUCGCCGGCCUCGGCGGAGAUUCCAGGCCCUAUAGAAACCAGGACGUCCCUUAGCGCCACCGCCUCACAUGCCAGUGCUGCCGGGAACCCAGCGAUAUCCGCACCAGCGGAGAAGGUUCCAGGCUGCCGGCGGCGGCGCAGAGAGCGGGAAGAGAGGCUCGGAGGAAGCCCCGGGCGUGGCGUGGUCAGGCUCCGAGAGCGGCCGGGAUGCGGCCACACCGGCCUGGUAAACUCGCACCUCUUAGGAUCUUGCUCCCGGACUCAUUCCCUUCCCCACCCCCUAUUUUAAAGUUUUAUUUGGGUCGUCUGUAUCAAUUUAGAACGAGAUAAAUUAAGACAAAGAAAGUAAAAUAAAUCGAAAUAAAAUAUAGGAAUAGCUCUUGGCGAAAAUGUUUGCCGUGCGAGCAGGAAGCCGUGAGCGCCCUAGUUGGAGGCUGCUCUGCGCCGACUAAGAGGCCUCUACUCCCAGGCCUGGCCUCUACGCAACGCCACCCAAGAAGCCAGAGUGAAUUUGGGUGUUCAUUUUCCCUUUCCUUCCGCUCUUCCUUCAUGUGGGGCCUAGCAGCUUGGAUUUCAGCUCCGUCUUUGUGCCUGGGCUGCAGCCCAGAUCCAGAUCCCGCAGCUUGGUUUCCAGGCCUGAAUGAGGACGCGGGUUUGUGAAACUGUGAGGUUUUUGUUUUGUUGUUUUGUGAGCUUGUGUGACUAAGCAUGUGGGCUUCUGAGUGCGUUUACUUGGGGGCAAAUGUGAAUCUGUGUUUAUAAGCCAAUGUGUGAAUGUACGUUGGUAUCAAUGUGUCUGUGAGUGUGAAUGUGUGUUUACUUGUGAGCGUGUGUGAACAUGAAUGCCUA